UCAUACCAUUUUUCGGUGGUAAUGGGGCUCCAUCAAGGAUCGGCGCUUAGCCCUCUCUUGUUUGCCUUGGUUAUGGAUGCUCUAACCCGUCAUAUUCAAGGGAAUGUGCCUUGGUGUAUGCUAUUUGCUGAGACAUGGUUUUGAUAGACGAGACGAGGGUCGGUGUUAAUGAGAGGUUAGAGGUAUGGAGACAAACUCUCGAGUAUAAGGGUUUCAAAAUAAGCCGAUCUAAGACAGAAUACCUAGAGUGCAAGCUAGACGAGACGAGGGUCGAUUUUCAUGAGAGGCUAGAGGUAUGGAGACAAACUCUCGAGUCUAAGGGUUUUAUAUAAGCAGAUCUAAGACAGAAUACCUGGAGUGCAAGUUUAGCGCCGAGCCGAGCGAA
rnacentral:lncRNA from 1 species